GCUCACCUUUCGUUCACCCUGUUGCUGGUGGAAACAGGAUUCUUUCAGGGUAUCGCAGGAAACGCAUUUCAAGGGGUCUCUGACGGGGGAGUUAGGCCGUGGGGGUGCGGGCUGUGAGCGCCCCCCUGGUGGUCUGCUGUUCUCUCCAGCCCCUUGGAGCUGCCCCACCUGCCAGGUUCAGAGCUGUGCUUUCUGAGCGUGACCUUGGGCAGCUGGACGUCCUGGGUCCUGAACCAGCUGCUUCAUCUGUAGGAGAGUUAAGAACCCCUUUCCAACAAACCUGCCUUCUCUCCUGUGAG